AGAAGAAGGUUGUUUCUUAACGUUCUCUGAAUGUUCUGAGAACAUGACUUUAAAUAGAACCAUGAGGAAAUCUGUAGAAAACUUUAUGCUUCAGUGCUGAAAUUCCCACCUAAGAAACAUAUGGUUUUCAGAACCGUAUGUGCUAGCUGGGUAUCCUGCAUCCUUCCCAGAACAUUGUGGAGUUGUAUGCAAAAUAACCCUAGGACAAUGACGCUUUCACCAAGAAUAAGAAACACAUGGUUCUCAGAACGUUAUGUACUUGCUGGAAGCCUCAUCUAUUAUCUGCAAAUAACUAUACUUAUCAUUUGGCUAUGACUGAGUUCAUGACCUUUAGAAUAAUUAAGGUAAAUUGUAUGAAUUUAACCUGACUGAUUUGCUUAAAGAAAUCCAACUAAUUUGAAUGGUCUUUUGGAAACACCAAAUUGCGCAUUCGUGCCCUAGGGUAGAACUCACGGAGGAAGAUUAGACAAGCACCGCUACAUCUCUCCUAUUAACCUUGCCAGCUUUGAAUACAUCAAAAUAAGCACAUUUUACUUUUUAACAUCAGUCUUUCCCAAACUUCCCAUGUGCAACUAUGCAUUGGUAAAACAUAAAACAUUCUGAAAUAAUUUCUGGGCACUCUGGUGUUUUUGGCUCAGAAGGCUUAAUGGACCAUGAGCGAGAUUAGUUUCUUAUAACGGAAACGUUCCUCCUGCUCCUCCCACCCACCCACCCCUCCUGCUGUCACAUUAUGAUCUCACCCAAUGACACCACGGCGCGCUUCACUGUUAUAAAGACCUCAAACUGGCAGAGAAUCCCCUCCUUGAUGCACGGAGCUGGCGCCAGACUGGAUCAGCGUUAACUAUCUACACUCCUCUCUGAAAGGGACAAAGCUUUAUGGGAGAGUGAAAGACAGAAAAAGAGAGAGGGAAAGGGAAAGAGAGAGAAAAGAAGUAGGGAGUGAGAGAGGGAGAGAAAUACAGAUCUUUACUCCUCUGUUAAAGGGACAGAAUCCACUAGGUUACCAGGGGCUGUGUACCAAUGUUGUGACCCGGGUCAGGGUCUAAGUACAUUGGUCAGGGAUUAAGGGUCAGUGAUCAGGUGAUGUUUGGGGACUUGAUGCUUUCCCCAUUGGGUUGUCAGUCUCCGGUUUACAGCAUUGGGAACUGUGAGUAGGAGACAGAUCAACACCGGAGUAGAGGCACCAGAAAACAAAGCCGCAACCCUGUGAAGAAGAGAUGGAAGAGGAGGAGAGGAAGUGACAGAAGUGACAGGAGGGAUGUCAGCAGAGUGAGCAGCCCACCCAGGUCUCUGGAGGAUGUGCAGAGUCAGUGUGUCAUGGCCAACGUAUGGGAGCGACAGAGGACCCAGUCACUCAACCAGGUCUUCGCCUCACCACGAGAGAUCAUCCCUGCGCUGCCCUCAGACAAACUCAGCAAGAUGCAGACGCUCAAACUGGCCAUGCGGUAACAAGACUUCCUCCACCCCGUACUGCAGGGCAAGAGGAUGGAUCUGGAUUUGAAUGAGGGGCCUGCGUCUGCAGCAUCCAUCUGUGGUUAUGUGGCCCACGAGCAUCUGAGCUAUGCCUUCUCAGCAUGGAGGAGGGAGGAUGGAGGAGGGAGGAUGGAGGAGGUAGCAUGGUCCAGGUCUGCUACAUCACACUAGCUCUCACUCCUCACUCCGCUGUGGAGGCACAAACAGAAUGAUCCAAGAGGAUCCAUACUGGUCAGGGGGUUUCACAUGCUGAAACUGGACUGUGGUACUACAACAAUACCAGUGUCACGACUUUGCCCUCUUUGGGUACAGCGAGCACCCCUCCCCCUGCACCAGCCCUUUUCUAUGCACCAUCCCCUUACCCCCCUGUCUCCUACACCCAGGCUGCUGUGGUCAGAGAGGUUGUAAAUUCCUGGAGGAGAUUUUC